GCCACUAACGUAAGGACAAAAUACUACAAAAUAGGAUUGUUCUCUAUUUUCUGAAGAACCAUUACAAAAACGAGAGAAGAAAUAUUCUAGAAGAUUCGCCCCAACGAAGUGGCGGGAGUCCCACUCUGUCCUCCUGUCCGACACAGUAGAAUACAGAGCCAAUAUAGAGAAAUGCCAGAUCGAUUUGGCCAGGUGAGGAGAGAGAGGCUGCCUACUAGUUGUUCGACGGCAGUUUUAAGAGAAGCAACAAUAGGGUGGGUAGCUUAUAUUGCUUCGAUGCACAUGUAUGUAUGUAAAUAUUGAAUUUUAUCUGUAAGAUCAGUUCCUUUUCUACUCCCUCCAUCCCAAAUUGUAGGUUAUUUUGAUUCAUAGAUGUUGUAUGCAUCUAAAUAUAGUGUAUGUCUAGAUGCAUACAAACAUCUAUGAACACAGAAAAAUCAAAAUGAGCUACAAUUUGAAAUGGAGGGAGUACUUCAUAACAAGUUAUUCAUUAGAAUAUCUUAACGAAAAGUUAACGUCCUCCGUUUCAAACCCUCAUUUUCAACGAAAGGUCGUUUUAGCUUUGUUAUAUACAUCAAUCUUAUCCAACUUUAACUUACUUCAUAGAAAAAUAUAUUAACUUCUAUGAUAUCAAACAAAUGCAAUAUUAAUAUAUAUAUAUAUUAAUGAUUUAUCUAAUGAAACUAGUUUGAUGUUAUCUAUAUGUUUGUGCAUUUGUUUAUAAAUUUAGUCAAACCUAGAUGAGUUUGAUUUAGGAUAAAACUAAGAUGAUUUACAAAUUUGAAGAGUGGAGUAAUAUAUAAUUACGUACUCCAUCAUAUGCAAAGCUAAUUACAGAGAUUGCAAUUUAGCCAAGCUACUAUCGGUAGCAAAGCACAAACGAUGCAAUUUGUUAGUAUUUAGCGGAGGUCAUCAGACUUUAUCAAAGCUCAAGGCACGGGUUACGACAGAUACCCCACGAAUCAAGCCACUACUAUAAACUGAGUACUGAUCCUAACCCUUAGUACCGAUUAGUUUUUGAUCCGGUACUAAUAUGAGCAUUAGUACCAGGUCUAACGACUAGUUCCCCACGAGCCCCCUGACCC
rnacentral:lncRNA from 1 species